rnacentral:rRNA from 1 species
UACGUAGGGGGCUAGCGUUGUCCGGAAUCAUUGGGCGUAAAGGGUGCGUAGGCGGCCGCGCGCGUGGCGGGUGAAAUCUCUCGGCUUACCCGGGAGGGUGCUUGCCAGACGGCGUGGCUUGAGGGACGGAGAGGGGCGUGGAAUUCCGGGUGGAGCGGUGAAAUGCGUAGAGAUCCGGAGGAACACCGACGGCGUAGGCAGCGCCCUGGCCGUUUCCUGACGCUGAUGCACGAAAGCUGGGGGAGCAAACAGG